UACGGAGGGUGCGAGCGUUGUCCGGAAUCAUUGGGCGUAAAGCGCACGUAGGCGGCAUCGCAAGUCGGAUGUGAAAUCUUAUGGCUUAACCAUAAAAGUGCAUCCGAAACUGCAGUGCUUGAGUACUUAAGAGGAUCGCGGAAUUCCCGGUGUAGAGGUGAAAUUCGUAGAUAUCGGGAGGAACACCGGUGGCGAAGGCGGGUCUCUGGGCCGAUACUGACGCUGAGGAGCGAAAGCGUGGGGAGCGAACAGG
rnacentral:rRNA from 1 species